rnacentral:rRNA from 1 species
UGGGGAAUCUUGCGCAAUGGGCGAAAGCCUGACGGAGCGACACCGCGUGCAGGACGAAGGCCCUCGGGUUGUAAACUGCUGUCACGCUCUAGGAAUGCCAUGUCGUUAAUAGCGGCAUGGUUGACCAAGGCGAAAGGAAGUGGCGGCUAACUCUGUGCCAGCAGCCGCGGUAAGACAGAGGCCACGAACGUUGUUCGGAAUCACUGGGCAUAAAGCGCACGUAGGCGGCUAGGUCCGUCCAAUGUGAAAGCCCCCGGCUCAACCGGGGAAUUGCAUCGGAUACAGCCUGGCUUGAGGACGGUUGGGGUGAGUGGAACUCCUGGUGGAGCGGUGAAAUGCGUAGAUAUCAGGAGGAACACCGGUGGCGAAAGCGGCUCACUGGACCGUUACUGACGCUGAGGUGCGAAAGCUAGGGGAGCAAACGGGAUUAGAUACCCCAGUAGUCCCUGAGCGGGCUGGCAAGGCGCAU